AAGUAGAAACAUCGUGGUUCAAGAGCUCCAGUUCUCACUGAGGUUCAGGAAGCAGAGAGACGAUGAAGCAGAGAGGAGCCAUGGAGGAUUCAAUGUGGAGGAAAAUGUUUCUGUUUUUCAUCCUGCAGUUUACAGGAGCUCUCAGCCAACAUCCCUUACUCUCCUUCACUGUCAGAGCUGGAGAUGACGUCACUUUGUCUUGUGAAAAUGUGAUCAAGACUCACAGUAACUGUGACACAACAACCUGGAACUACAAUAGUCAAAGACAAUUAACUGUAGAGUUAGUUGCUCAUGGGCAGGUUAAGAAUAUCAGAUCAGACAGACUGAGUGUUUCUGCAAACUGUUCUCUGGUUGUAAAGAAAGUCACAGAUGAGGAUGUUGGUUUGUACACCUGCAGACAGUUUGUAUCAGGAAGACAGACAGGUUCAGAUGCUUCAGUUCAUCUUUCUCUCGUUCGCUUGACAGAACAAGAGGACCAGAACAGAGUGACUUUAACCUGCUCUGUGGUGACAGAUGGACCAUGUAAACACUCAGUGAAGUGGUUGGUUAGUGGUAACAAUGUGGAUAAAGACAACAAAGAUUUUACAGAAUCAUCAUCUUCCUGCUCGGCUGCUGUCGCCUUCCAGACGUCUCAUUACAUUUACCAGUCAAGGUUUAACACGUUCAAAUGUGAAGUAAAGACAGAAAAUAAAGUUCAGCUUUUUACCUUCAGCUCUCGUCCAUCAGAGAAAGACAAAACAACAACCACCUCAGCAGUUACAACUAAACCAGACGAAACAUCAUUCAUCCCAAUGACAGAUGGAGUCACUCCAACACGUCCUCUAGAUGUGGAACAAAGAAAGUUUUACUUGUUCACAUUUAGUGUUGCUUUUAAUCACAAAUUAACCUCAGAAUGAUUCUUUAAAUACUUUUAUUGACAUUUCGCUUUUCCCAUCAGGUUUUCUGUGGUUGUACAUCACUCUGCCUCUGGUUCUACUGGCCUUGAUAAUAACUCUGUUCAUCCUGUUAAAGAGAACUAGAGGCCACAAAGCUAAACAAACUUCCAGUGACGGUGUAACUCUUAGACCUGCAGAGACUCAAUCUGCCUCUGAAAAUCAGCAACAUGAGGUUGAUCCGGAAAAUGGAGUUUUCUACGCCUCCAUCAGCUACACCAAGAAGUCCCACAGCAGCAGGGAUAAAAAUGAUGAUGAAGAUGAAGCUGUGACAUACAGCACCAUGAAAACUCAGUCCAUAGAUCCCAGCAGCCUCUAUGCUUCCAUCAAGAAACCAAGCAAACAGUCUGAGGUCCCAUAGCUAAAUGCUAGAUUUACUGUUACAGGCGUGCAUUGUUGGAAAAAAAGGGAAAUGUCUCAUUAUUAAUUUAGAUAACUGCAUAAAAGAAUGAAAACAAUGUACAUUGCACUUGUUUAGCUGUGAUAUGGUUAAUUACUAUGACUUAUUAACCAAGCUUUGCAAUGUUUGUUUUGUUUUAAAUUCCAAUUUCAAACUGAAAACCAGGAAUUUUAUUUUGCAGGUUCAGUGUUUAAUAUUUAUUUAUUUUUUCAUUUUUAUCUGAGUAUUUAUCUGAGACUGAAUAAAUGGAUGUGAUAUAAUUAGUAUAGUAUUAUAAAUGACUCCGUCCAGCAGAGUAACUGAGAUGUGGAACUGUAAAAGUCAUAACUACCACUGUUAUUUUGAAGCUGGACAAAAAAGGAGAACAGCUCUUUAACCCCCAAGUUGUGUUUUCUUACAGUUAUAUUUCUUAAAAGAAACCACCAAUUUAGAGAAGUAGAUGUGUGAAAACAGGAAAGAGACGUUUUGAGAGCUAAAGUUUGCACAGGAACUCAUUUGUUUAAACAUUUAUUGAUGAUCCUUGUAAGGGACUGAUGAUUGGUAUGAUUUUUAGAGAAGUAAUUUUAUUUUCUGCUAGAAUAGUUACAGGUUUCCAGAUAAUAAAGCUCAUUUCUUA